rnacentral:misc_RNA from 1 species
GAGAGAGAGAGAGUCAGAGAGAGAGAGGUUUGAAACAUUAAAGCUAGAAAGUAUUUUGGAUUGUAGAAUAAAGCACCAAAAAAAAAAAGUUGGAGAAGUGGUUUCUUUAGGUUAUAAGACAAAUAAGGUCACCGAAAACCUUUAUUUGUAAUAUUCAUGAAAAUUCUAGCCAAAUAAAUAUUGGAAAUGAAAACCAAAACCCUUUAUUUAUCUGUCCCCUCAUCUAUCCAAAUGUCAAAUUGCGAGCAAGCACCCGUGUUUGACAGGCAGGGAGCCAAAUAAAAAAAAAGGACUUCAAUACUCAAAAUUAAAACACUCAAUCAAAAAGUGGAAGAAACAGUAACCUCGUGUGGAAGACCAUUCCAGCU